rnacentral:rRNA from 1 species
ACUCAAAUGAAUUGACGGGGGCCCGCACAAGCAGCGGAGCGUGUGGUUUAAUUCGACGCAACGCGAAGAACCUUACCAGGGCUUGAAAUGCUACCGCUAUUGGCCGAAAGGCUGAGUUCCGCGAGGACGGUAGUACAGGUGUUGCAUGGCUGUCGUCAGCUCGUGUUGUGAGAUGUUGGGUUAAGUCCCGCAACGAGCGCAACCCUUGUCGCCAGUUACCGUGUCUGGCGAGACUGCCGGGGGCAACCCGGAGGAAGGCAAGGAUGACGUCAAGUCGGCACGGCCCUUACGCCCUGGGCUACACACACGCUACAAUGGCCGGCACAGCGGGUCGCAAAAGCGCAAGCUGGAGCCAAUCCCUGCAAAACCGGUCGUAGUUCAGAUUGGGGGCUGCAACUCGCCCCCAUGAAGUCGGAGUUGCUAGUAACCGUGGGUCAGCACACCGCGGUGAAUAUGUACCCGGGCCUUGCACACACCGCCCGU